CAGCCGUAAACUAUGCUCGCUAGGUGUCAGGCAUGGCGCGACCGUGUCUGGUGCCGCAGGGAAGCCGUGAAGCGAGCCACCUGGGAAGUACGGCCGCAAGGCUGAAACUUAAAGGGAUUGGCGGGGGAGCACAACAACGGGUGGAGCCUGCGGUUUAAUUGGACUCAACGCCGGGAAGCUCACCGGAUAAGACAGCGGAAUGAUUGCCGGGCUGAAGACUCUGCAUGACUAGCUGAGAGGUGGUGCAGUGGCGUAGACGUGU
rnacentral:rRNA from 1 species